rnacentral:rRNA from 1 species
UGGGGAAUAUUGGACAAUGGGCGAAAGCCUGAUCCAGCAAUGCCGCGUGGGUGAAGAAGGCCUUCGGGUUGUAAAGCCCUUUUGUACGGGAAGAAAAGCUGCCGGUUAAUACCCGGUGGUCAUGACGGUACCGUAAGAAUAAGCACCGGCUAACUUCGUGCCAGCAGCCGCGGUAAUACGAAGGGUGCAAGCGUUAAUCGGAAUUACUGGGCGUAAAGCGUGCGUAGGCGGUUGGUUAAGUCUGUCGUGAAAGCCCUGGGCUCAACCUGGGAAUGGCGAUGGAUACUGGCCAGCUAGAGUGUGAUAGAGGAUGGCGGAAUUCCCGGUGUAGCGGUGAAAUGCGUAGAGAUCGGGAGGAACAUCCGUGGCGAAGGCGGCCAUCUGGAUCAACACUGACGCUGAGGCACGAAAGCGUGGGGAGCAA